GAUGAACGCUAGCGGCAGGCUUAACACAUGCAAGUCGAGGGGUAUAGUUCUUCGGAGCUAGAGACCGGCGCACGGGUGCGUAACGCGUAUGCAAUCUUCCUUUUGCAGAGGGAUAGCCCAGAGAAAUUUGGAUUAAUACCCCAUGGUAUUCGAGAAUGGCCACAUUCACACAUUAAAGUCAACACGGGAAAAGAUGAGCAUGCGUUCCAUUAGCUUGUUGGUAAGGUAACGGCUUACCAAGGCAGCGAUGGGUAGGGGUCCUGAGAGGGAGAUCCCCCACACUGGUACUGAGACCCGGACCAGACUCCUGCGGGACGCAGCAGUAAAGAAUAUUGGACAAUGGGCGCAAGCCUGAUCCAGCCAUGGCGCGUGCAAGAUGACGGUCCUAUGGAUUGUAAACUGCUUUUGUACAGGAAGAAACACUGGUUCGUGAACCAGCUUGACGGUACUGUAAGAAUAAGGACCGGCUAACUCCGUGCCAGCAGCCGCAGUAAGAC
rnacentral:rRNA from 1 species